UAGGGAAUCUUCCACAAUGGGCGCAAGCCUGAUGGAGCAACACCGCGUGAGUGAAGAAGGGUUUCGGCUCGUAAAACUCUGUUGUUGAAGAAGAACGUGCGUGAGAGUAACUGUUCACGCAGUGACGGUAUUCAACCAGAAAGUCACGGCUAACUACGUGCCAGCAGCCGCGGUAAUACGUAGGUGGCAAGCGUUAUCCGGAUUUAUUGGGCGUAAAGCGAGCGCAGGCGGUUUUCUAAGUCUGAUGUGAAAGCCUUCGGCUUAACCGGAGAAGGGCAUCGGAAACUGGAUAACUUGAGUGCAAGAGAGGACAGUGGAACUCCAUGUGUAGCGGUGGAAUGCGUAGAUAUAUGGAAGAACACCAGUGGCGAAGGCGGCUGUCUAGCUUGCAACUGACGCUGAGGCUCGAAAGCAUGGGUAGCGAACA
rnacentral:rRNA from 1 species